UACGGGAGGCAGCAGUGGGGAAUAUUGCACAAUGGGCGCAAGCCUGAUGCAGCCAUGCUGCGUGUAUGAAGAAGGCCUUCGGGUUGUAAAGUACUUUCAGUCGUGAGGAAGGUGUUAAGGUUAAUAACCUUAGCAAUUGACGUUAGCGACAGAAGAAGCACCGGCUAACUCCGUGCCAGCAGCCGCGGUAAUACGGAGGGUGCGAGCGUUAAUCGGAAUUACUGGGCGUAAAGGGCACGCAGGCGGUUAAUUAAGUUGGAUGUGAAAUCCCCGGGCUUAACCUGGGAAUGGCAUUCAAGACUGGUUAGCUAGAGUCUUGUAGAGGGGGUAGAAUUCCAUGUGUAGCGGUGAAAUGCGUAGAGAUGUGGAGGAAUACCGGUGGCGAAGGCGGCCCCUGGGACAAAGACUGACGCUCAUGUGCGAAAGCGUGGGGAGCAAACAGGAUUAGAUACC
rnacentral:rRNA from 1 species